GGGCCCGCACAAGCGGUGGAGCAUGUGGUUUAAUUCGACGCAACGCGCAGAACCUUACCAGCCCUUGACAUCCCGGUCGCGGACUCCAGAGACGGAGUUCUUCAGUUCGGCUGGACCGGAGACAGGUGCUGCAUGGCUGUCGUCAGCUCGUGUCGUGAGAUGUUGGGUUAAGUCCCGCAACGAGCGCAACCCCCGUCCUUAGUUGCUACCAUUCAGUUGAGCACUCUAAGGAGACUGCCGGUGAUAAGCCGCGAGGAAGGUGGGGAUGACGUCAAGUCCUCAUGGCCCUUACGGGCUGGGCUACACACGUGCUACAAUGGCGGUGACAAUGGGAUGCGAAGGCGCGAGCCCUAGCAAAUCUCAAAAAGCCGUCUCAGUUCGGAUUGGGCUCUGCAACUCGAGCCCAUGAAGUUGGAAUCGCUAGUAAUCGUGGAUCAGCACGCCACGGUGAAUACGUUCCCGGGCCUU
rnacentral:rRNA from 1 species